rnacentral:rRNA from 1 species
AUUGAACGCUGGCGGCAGGCCUAACACAUGCAAGUCGAACGAGUGGCGGACGGGUGAGUAAUGUCGGGGAAACUGCGCGAUGGAGGGGGAUAACUACUGGACACGGUAGCUAAUACCGCAUACCAUCGGAUGUGCCCAUAUGGGAGUCGCUAGGAGGGGGGGUAACGGCUCACCUAGGCGACGCUCCCGAGCUGGUCUGAGAGGAUGACCAGCCAAACUGGUACUGAGACACGGUCCAGACUCCUACGGGAGGCAGCAGUGGGGAAUAUUGCACAAUGGGCGCAAGCCUGAUGCAGCCAUGCCGCGUGUAUGAAGAAGGCCCUCGGGUUGUAAAGUACUUUCAGCGGGGAGGCGUUACUCGCAGAAGAAGCACCGGCUAACUCCGUGCCAGCAGCCGCGGUAAUAC